GCCGCCGCCGGAGCCCCGCCCACUUCUCCCCCCACACCCAAUAGCCGGGCGAGGGUGGGUCGGCUGCGCCCAGUCAGAGGAGCGGGCCGGGAAGGAGGCUCCUCCUCCUGCUGUAUAAAGUGACACCGCGGCCCCCUCCCCCCACCGCCUCAGCCCUCACAGGCGGCGUUCGCUUUUCGCUCCUGUUUUCCCCUCACGGCUGCACGUUGUCAAUGAAUGCAAAUAAAGUGACUGGAAACACGCGUGUCUCUGUGUCUAGACAUACGCAUCUUUACACGAAAAGGGUGUAUAUAACGUGUGUCUCGCAUAUCACUGAGGGAGAGAAUACAGAGACGGAUCUCUGUGUGUGUUGUGUAACGGGCUGAUUCCUCUGUUCGUCUUGAUUGGAAUCGGAGGGACCGGCCUGUGCACCAUGCGCCUUGCUCUUCGCAAUCCUGGUGUCAGAUGUACUCCGUGCUGUCUGCCUCUGGUCACGUUUCUCUGCCUGGCUGGGACAAAAAGAGCAACCCAGCCUUGGAACAAGCUGUGACCCAACGACCAGUACAAGGGAUGUCCGGAGCCGGUGAGGUUUUCCCUAAGUCCAAAAUCAUGAAGAGAACCACAGGACAUCCCUAUUUACAUCGGAGAAAUGAAUGCGAAAUACUGGCAGUGAGCAAUGGACAAGGCCGUGGCCAUACCUGAGAGAAGGAGCUUUGAAGGGAGACUGCAGGCGGACAUCUGCUGCAUUGCAAGUGAUGGGGCAGUGGGGG